GAAACCACUUCAGGUCGCAGUACAUGUACCUCGUGUAAUAUUUUUGCACAGACAGUUUCUUAUGGGUCGUGUGGUUGGGAGCUAGCCCACUACCCCCGCAACUCCUUUUCUUCUUGGGUUUCUGAUGGAGUGUGUCGGCAGUGAGCGGUUGGGGAAUCGGAACUUGGGCAGCGGCGAGCGGGUGGGCGUUCGGCGGCGAGAGGUAGGGAGGCUUGGUGUCCAAGCGAGCGGCGAGAGGUAGGCGUGCUCUGCGCUGACUGUGUUAGCGUCCUCGUCGGCGGGUGAAAUCAGCAGUCACGUGGUCGGUCGUCCGAAGCGGCGGCAAUGGCGGCGUGGUGUGAUUGGCUUCAACAGAACUUACAUCCACUCGAGCGGAAGGGGACGAGCGGCCGUUGGGUGGCGAUAGCUGGUGACUUCGGCGGCCUCACCCUCAGAUUCUGUGUGUACUGGCGCAUCCCCUGCAAUUGCAAGGUACAUGAAGCUUUUGCUCAUGUUUAAUCAGCGUGCACGAAUUUCAUUAUGGCCUCCGCAAAACCAGAUAUGUGCACUUUUUUCUUUGUCAGCCAAGAUUGAACACAAAUUUGCAUAGAUGAGGCUAUAUGGUCCGAUAUGUCAGAUUGGAUGAUGUCAGGGACAAAUCGAAAAUAACUUAUGCCUCCAGAUUAGACCUACGGCUGCCUCAAAUUCAGCUACCAUUCUUUCUAUGUAUGCCCAUAAACAGAGCUACUAAUCCUGUUGUGUACUUGUGUCAUUGUGUGUGUGUCUAUGAUUCCUCAGGUCUCAGGUCAGUCCGAGGCAAUGGCGGCGUGGUGACCGCGUCAGCAGCCUGGCCGGUCCGCGCGGCGGGUGGUGGCUGAGAGUGGCCUCAGCAUCGGCGCAGGGGGUGGUGGUUGCGGAUUGCAUCGCAGUGAGUGGCAGACCCCCUGAGCUAUGUUGUGGGUCGAUUCACGGCGAGCGGAGAACGCCGGUGAACUUCGACGUUAGGAAGGCCACCACCAACAUUAGUAGGCAAUGGUUUUGAGUCCCUCAAAGAUUUGUCCAGGUCGAGGAAAUCCUAGAACAAGGUUGUUCCUUACGCUAAUGUCUUCCAUGGAACCCAACCACCGAAGAGCAGCAGGAGAAAUAAACAUUUAAGUUCCAAGCUACUUUCUUCUUUGAAGUUCCACCGGACAAAUAAGUGUGUCAGAUUCUUCUUGUAGUCUUGUUAGCGGCUUUGCUCUGCAGGAAAUCUUCGUAUGUGACAUAAGUUUGAUGGAAUCUAAUCUUAUAUGCAAUGCUUCCCUUGGCGUGAGCAAGUGCUCAUGUGGUGAGGCUUUGGCUCUGUCUUUCAAGUACAGCGUGUUGACCUUGAUCGUUGGAGAGUCAGCUUCAUUGUAACAUUGACCCGACAGAGACGAAUCAGCAUAGCUCGCCUGCAUCAUCUUACAUGAUUUGAAUCAAACCAGGCCUUUACCCGAUUAUUUGGGGAAGUUCAGACCGAUGAAAAUCCAUAUCUAAAAAACUUGAUUUGAAGCUCCCCUUGUACAUACUCUCCCUAAAACAAACUGCACUCUUGUAUAUAGCUGAAUAUCUUUAUUCUCAUGUCCUGUCCAUGUAAUGUACUACUUGCUUAUGAAUGCUUCCUUCUAUUGGAGUCAUCUAGCAGAUCAUAUCCGGAAUUGUUGUACUGCAAGAAUGAUCGAUGUCACCUAAGUGACAUUUUGUAAUUCACAUUUUUUUAUGUCCCAUCGUAUACCAUAUUUUACA